rnacentral:lncRNA from 1 species
AUGCUUGUUCUUAAUCUUGUGUGUGCGGCUCUUUUGGCCGCAUCAACUGCUCAGUCAGGCAUUCCUCGAUACAGCCAUGGCCAGUGGAUACUCACUGAUGAGAACACACAAUAUGAAGAUGUUGAUGGACUAGCAGUAGAGGAGAACUUAUGGCCCGAGAGCCCACCAGAAGUUCUUGAACUGGUGACACCAGUUGACCAGAACUUGCGGACUACUCCAGAGCCGUAUGUUAUGAAGGAACAAGACUCCGAUGAAGGAGAAGAAUCGGCAUCGGAAUCGGCAUCGGCAUCGGCAUCGGCAGUCUGGAAAAUCGUCCUGAUAGCAGCCAUCCUGCUGGUGUCUAUAGUGGGAUCUCUCAGUAUGGCCUAUUACAUGUGUGUCUGGAGAGGAGGCAGGAUUCACUAUCAGCCACAGAAGGAGGGUUAUCCUUAAAAUAAAACUUAUUUUUGCAGAAACUAUUCUGGAAAUUGGGCUCUAACUCUUUGUUCCUUGUUUUACAACAAAUUGUUCUCUUCACCACCGGCAUCUGAAAAGGAAAUGAGCUACAUCAGAAAGUGGUGAAAAG